rnacentral:rRNA from 1 species
UACGUAGGGUGCGAGCGUUGUCCGGAAUUAUUGGGCGUAAAGAGCUCGUAGGCGGUUUGUCGCGUCGACUGUGAAAACUGGGGGCUUAACUCUCAGCUUGCAGUUGAUACGGGCAGACUUGAGUUCGGUAGGGGAGACUGGAAUUCCUGGUGUAGCGGUGAAAUGCGCAGAGUAUCAGGAGGAACACCGGUGGCGAAGGCGGGUCUCUGGGCCGAUACUGACGCUGAGGAGCGAAAGCGUGGGGAGCGAACAGG